rnacentral:rRNA from 1 species
CGCCUCUUUAUCAAAAACAUCGCCUCCUGCAAACAAAUUAAGUAUAGGAGGUCCAGCCUGCCCAGUGACUACGGGUUCAACGGCCGCGGUAUUUUGACCGUGCAAAGGUAGCGCAAUCACUUGUCUUUUAAAUAGAGACCUGUAUGAAUGGCUAAACGAGGGCUUAACUGUCUCCCCCUUCCAGUCAGUGAAAUUGAUCUAUCCGUGCAGAAGCGGGUAUAAUUAUACAAGACGAGAAGACCCUUUGGAGCUUAAGGUACAAAAUUCAACCACGUUAAACAACUAAACAAAGAGGGGGAACUUAGUGGGACCUGAAAUUUUACCUUCGGUUGGGGCGACCGCGGAGAAAAAAUCAGCCUCCGAGUGGAAUGGGCCAAAACCCUAAAACCAAGAGAAACAUCUCUAAGCCGCAGAACAUCUGACCAUUAAUGAUCCGGCCAAACAGCCGAUCAACGAACCAAGUUACCCUAGGGAUAACAGCGCAAUCCUCUCCCAGAGUCCAUAUCGACGAGAGGGUUUACGACCUCGAUGUUGGAUCAGGACAUCCUAAUGGUGCAGCCGCUAUUAAGGGUUCGUUUGUUCAACGAUUAAAGUCCUACGUGAUCUGAGUUCAGACCGG